UCACUUUUUGAAUAUUUAUAGGGAGAACUGGGGUUAUUUACCAAGUUACCCUUGGGCCCUGGUAGACCCUUGCCCCCCGGUUGACCUGGUACCCCCUCUUUGCCAUGUAGCCCACAUGUUCCUGGGGGUCCUGGAAGUCCUCUGUCCCCUUUCAGUCCAAAUCCAGGUUCAAUGUCAUCAUCUCCCUUACAUCCCUGCGGGCCUGGAUAACCCAUAAUCCCCUGCGGGCCCUGAGAUGAGUACAGAGAUAAUGGCAGAGAAGCCAUGACUGACCUGCUUUCUUGUUCUUGACAUGAAUGCUAAGUGUUAAAUGCUAGAUGGAUGUGUGCUUGAGGGCUCCAGAAAGAACACUGUUUAAGGAAGAAGCUGUCUGGCAGAAGAGCCAUGGACCAUCUCAGCAGAUUUGUGAUCACAGCACCUGGGAGUCCUGGAGAUCCAGGUGGGCCAGUGCAACCUGAAACAUAAGGCAAAGUUCUCAUGCCCAAGUUCUUCAGGUGUGGCUGACAGGCAUGGAGAGGAGUCCGGUAAUAAUACCUGGGCGGCCAGGAAGGCCUUGCUGACCUGGUGCACCAGGCAAUCCAGGCUGUCCUUUGAGGGCUCUGUCAAGUACUACCUUCUGUUUAAGAAGAUUGAAGGGUGACCCUGGAUCGCCCUUUUCACCUAUAUCACCCGGGUCCCCCUGCGAUGACAGAGGUCAGUGAAGGAAUUCCUGGAGGUCCUGGUUCCCCCUGUACAACGGAAUCAUAGGAAGUGAUGCGUAGCGCUGUCCAGCCUGGUCCAUGACCAAGGUGGUACAGGACUGGGCAGGGACUCCAAUUGCCACUCUGACUCAAAUCUCAGCUGUCAUUUCCCACCUUUUGGCCUGGAGGUCCUGCGAUACCCGAGCUUCUCCCUUCCAGACCCUGAACAGAGACAUAGAGCCCUGACGGUCCAGGGGGUCCAGGAGCCCCCGGUGGUCCUGUUUGGCCCUGAAAACCAGGCCAGAGGGUUUGACAGUACCAGGAGGGACGUCUUGGAUGACAGGAGUUAAAGCUGUCCUCACCUUAGCACCAUAACUACCUGGAGCACCACGCUGACCUUUCUCUUCGACGGAGGAUAAGUUGGAGUCCCCCUGUAGGGACAUCCGGCGAGAGA